ACAGAGGGUGCAAGCGUUAAUCGGAAUUACUGGGCGUAAAGCGCGCGUAGGUGGUUUGUUAAGUUGGAUGUGAAAGCCCCGGGCUCAACCUGGGAACUGCAUCCAAAACUGGCAAGCUAGAGUAUGGUAGAGGGUGGUGGAAUUUCCUGUGUAGCGGUGAAAUGCGUAGAUAUAGGAAGGAACACCAGUGGCGAAGGCGACCACCUGGACUGAUACUGACACUGAGGUGCGAAAGCGUGGGGAGCAAACAG
rnacentral:rRNA from 1 species